GACUUUCUUUUUGAUGAGAUAUGAGCCCGUGGGUAGAUGCGGGUUGUUGGAUGCCACUUCUUGUUGCAGAUCUGUUACUACUCUGUAGCCUUCUCCUGAUAUGGUCGGCGUUGGAGAGGAGUCCGGGGGUUGGGUGUUUUGGGUAUAUCGGGGUUGCUGACUUGUUCCGUGCAGGUAAGGGCAGCCACGACUUCGAGGAGUGUACCCUGUGUCGUUGGUUAGAUCUUCCUCAGCUUCACUCCAAUUUGGAUCGGAUCUUGGGGAACUGGAAUUUGGGGGAUAGGUUGUCUGCUUGAGGUUGACGAUGUACUGUGCGUGAAGGCCGGCCCGAAUGAUGCAUCUAUAUUAAUCUUGAGGACACCAGGCUGUGGGGGUUGCCAUUUUUCAAGUAAGUCAGCGGCUUGCCUCUGUUUUGUCAAUUUAGGAUUCCAUCUGGCAAAGCUAUCUUUUAAGUUGACGGCGCUAAACAGGGUGCGAUGGAAAUUGAGGGGGCUCUUCCUGAAUAUGAAAUGAUUUCUAUCCUUCCAUAUGCACCAUAAUACAUUUGCAAUCAAUUCAAAAUUAUGAGAGUGCCUUGA